UCUCCCGGCAGACCUACGGCAGUGGGAUGCGCCCCCCCCCCAGCUCGCUGGCCGGUCCUGGCAUGCCUGCCAUGAACAUGGGUCCCGGUGGCCGCGGGCCCUGGCCCAACCCCAACGCCAACUCUAUCGCCUACUCCUCCUCAUCCCCUGGGAACUACGUGAGCCCCUGUGGCCCCCCCCAACCCACCUCC